UACGUAGGGGCCUAGCGUUGUCCGGAAUUACUGGGCGUAAAGCGCGUGUAGGCUGCUCGGAAAGUCGGAUGUGAAAGCCCUGGGCUUAACCUAGGAAGUGCAUUCGAAACUUCCGAGCUGGAGUUCUGGAGAGGAAGGCGGAAUUCUCGGUGUAGAGGUGAAAUUCGUAGAUAUCGAGAGGAACACCGGUGGCGAAGGCGGCCUUCUGGACAGUGACUGACGCUGAGACGCGAAAGCGUGGGGAGCAAACAGG
rnacentral:rRNA from 1 species